rnacentral:rRNA from 1 species
AUUCUAGAGCUAAUACAUGCGAAAAAACCCGACUUCUCGGAAGGGUUGUAUUUAUUAGAUAAAGAACCAAUAUUUUUGGUGACUCAUAAUAACUUUACGGAUCACACUAUGUGACAUAUCAUUCAAGUUUCUGACCUAUCAGCUUUAGACGGUAGGGUAUUGGCCUACCGUGGCUAUGACGGGUAACGGGGAAUUAGGGUUCGAUUCCGGAGAGGGAGCCUGAGAAACGGCUACCACAUCUAAGGAAGGCAGCAGGCGCGCAAAUUACCCAAUCCUAAUACAGGGAGGUAGUGACAAGAAAUAACAAUACAGAGCCUUACGGUUUUGUAAUUGGAAUGAGUUAAGUAUAAACCCCUUAACAAGUAUCAAUUGGAGGGCAAGUCUGGUGCCAGCAGCCGCGGUAAUUCCAGCUCCAAUAGCGUAUAUUAAAGUUGUUGCAGUUAAAAAGCUCGUAGUUAAUUUUCUGUUAAUUUUUAUAUACAAUGCUACGGUAUUUAUAUAAUAUUAACAUAAUUCAUAUUACUUUUUAGUAUAUGAAACUUUACUUUGAGAAAAUUAGAGUGCUUAA